rnacentral:lncRNA from 10 species
GGGGCCGGGAGGAGCGCAGAGCCUCGCGCCCGGAUGCCCGGCCAGCUAGCAGCGCGGGCAGCGGCUUUAUGUUGAUGGCAAAUUGUCACUUUGGCGGAAUUCAGGAACGCUACUUAUGUCAUUAGGCGGCAAUCUAUAAUUAACGCACUCAAGGCUGUGUGAAGGGUAGGAUUCUUCCAGGGACAGCUAGAGCGAUUCCACCUGCAUCUUCUGGGAGCGGGGAAUGUUAGUGGACCCCCCGGUGUGUAGAAGUUCAGCAAGAUUAAAAGCCAAUACAAGGUGAGCAUGUCCUGGAAAACUUUCAGCUUCCAUAGAAUGUUGGCAGAAUAUGCACGUAUGAAGAAGUGAAAUAAAAAAGUGGAGUUAAUUUUCUGCAGCGUUUCCAUAUUUCUGCAGUGCUUGGAAAUAAAGCAGAACCAUGCACCCAGCAACACCUUUGAUCUCGACCAUAUGGAGCCCCACCAAGCUCUGGAAAAAAAAUCUCCCUUGCCUCCACAGCCGGCCGAGAGAAGCGGGGGCCCCCAGAUGGCCAGAUACCAUGGGCGCCCGCACCCCAUGGCUUGUCUUGUCUUCUGAUUGGUCCCCAGUGCAAAGGCAGGGGACUCGCUUCUCACGCUGGAGGCAAAUCCGUGUCCCCAACGUUGGUGAGGUUGACAGUUUUCACAACUCGGUUUUGGGGGGGAAAUAUUUGAGUAAACAGCCCUGACCCUGUUGGGUUUGUUUUAGAGUGGAAUCUCACCAUCAGGACAGAGCAAAAAUGUCAUGGGCCCCUAGACCAGUGUGGAAAGCUCACUAAACCAUUUUUCCAGCUGAGGCUUUUUCCUCUCUUUCUUUUGUUAAAUCCUUGGGUCUCUAACUUUGCUGAUCAUCGUCUUGAGAAUUGACCACAUGGGAAGACUGAUUUACACACUGGGUCAGCCUGAGAAGGAAAAAGCCCAUGACCAAUGACAUCGGGGGGCCCAGAGGGAAGCCGGCUGAGGCAGAGGGAGCAAGUGGGCCGUGGCCAAGGGCCAAGGACCUGCAUCCUCAUCUUCCUCUCACCAGCAUGGGGAUUGGCAGGUUUAAGAGGCAGUUAGGAGAGGCAGGUGUGAGUAAUGGGAACAGCACUGGCUUUCACCAAGCAACCAGGUUCACGACAGCCGUCAUGUGACCUCGGGCACGUGACUCCACCUCUCUGUGAGGCAGUUUGCUCAUGGAUUCUUCUGCAAUUCUGAAACAUGAAAGUGCCAAAAGUCAACGCUUUGAUAAUUUCAUAGCAGACUCAUGUGGUGGCAAAGCCUGACCUGAGCUGACGUGAGACUAUUUGUAAUCUUUAUUUAUGCUGCUUAAUGCAGGUACUCAUUCAUUCUGCUGUGGAAAUAGUCCUGUCUGGGACAGUCGAAGGCUGCCCUAGACUCCAUUGGGAUAUUAUAUGUUUACUUUUGUAAAAUCCAAAAUAUCC